rnacentral:rRNA from 1 species
UACGAACCGUGCAAGCGUUGUUCGGAAUCACUGGGCUUAAAGGGCGCGUAGGCGGGCUGCCGCGUCCGGGGUGAAAUCCCACGGCUCAACCGUGGAACGGCCCCGGGUACGGGCGGCCUCGAGGGGGGUAGGGGCGUGCGGAACUGUGGGUGGAGCGGUGAAAUGCGUUGAUAUCCACAGGAACUCCGGUGGCGAAGGCGGCACGCUGGACCCCCACUGACGCUGAGGCGCGAAAGCCAGGGGAGCGAACGGG